rnacentral:rRNA from 1 species
UACGUAGGGUGCGAGCGUUAAUCGGAAUUACUGGGCGUAAAGGGCGCGCAGGCGGUCUGGUAAGUUUGGAGUGACAGUGCUCGGCUUAACUGAGCAAGGCCUUCGAAAACUGUCAGACUUGAGCACUCAAGAGGGACAUAGAAUUCCGGGUGGAGUGGUGAAAUGCGUAGAUAUCCGGAGGAAUACCAAAGGCGAAGGCAGUGUCCUGGGGAGUGUCUGACGCUCAGGCGCGAAAGCUAGGGGAGCGAACAGG